rnacentral:rRNA from 1 species
UACGUAGGGGGCAAGCGUUGUCCGGAUUUAUUGGGCGUAAAGAGCGUGUAGGCGGCCAUGUAGGUCCGUUGUGAAAACUCGAGGCUCAACCUCGAGACGCCGAUGGAAACCAUGUGGCUAGAGUCCGGAAGAGGAGAGUGGAAUUCCUGGUGUAGCGGUGAAAUGCGCAGAUAUCAAGAAGAACACCCGUGGCUAAGGCGGCUCUCUAGUACGGUACUGACGCUGAGACGCGAAAGCGUGGGGAGCGAACAGG